rnacentral:rRNA from 1 species
CUCCUGACUGACCGAUAGUGAACCAGUACCGUGAGGGAAAGGCGAAAAGAACCCCGGCGAGGGGAGUGAAAAAGAACCUGAAACCGUGUACGUACAAGCAGUGGGAGCACGCUUAGGCGUGUGACUGCGUACCUUUUGUAUAAUGGGUCAGCGACUUAUAUUCUGUAGCAAGGUUAACCGAAUAGGGGAGCCGAAGGGAAACCGAGUCUUAACUGGGCGUUAAGUUGCAGGGUAUAGACCCGAAACCCGGUGAUCUAGCCAUGGGCAGGUUGAAGGUUGGGUAACACUAACUGGAGGACCGAACCGACUAAUGUUGAAAAAUUAGCGGAUGACUUGUGGCUGGGGGUGAAAGGCCAAUCAAACCGGGAGAUAGCUGGUUCUCCCCGAAAGCUAUUUAGGUAGCGCCUCGUGAAUUCAUCUCCGGGGGUAGAGCACUGUUUCGGCAAGGGGGUCAUCCCGACUUACCAACCCGAUGCAAACUGCGAAUACCGGAGAAUGUUAUCACGGGAGACACACGGCGGGUGCUAACGUCCGUCGUGAAGAGGGAAACAACCCAGACCGCCAGCUAAGGUCCCAAAGUCAUGGUUAAGUGGGAAACGAUGUGGGAAGGCCCAGACAGCCAGGAUGUUGGCUUAGAAGCAGCCAUCAUUUAAAGAAAGCGUAAUAGCUCACUGGUCGAGUCGGCCUGCGCGGAAGAUGUAACGGGGCUAAACCAUGCAC